UACGGGGGGGGCAAGCGUUGUUCGGAAUUACUGGGCGUAAAGGGCUCGUAGGCGGCCAACUAAGUCGGAUGUGAAAUCCCCAGGCUUAACCUGGGAAUUGCAUCCGAUACUGGAUGGCUUGAAUCCGGGAGAGGGAUGCGGAAUUCCAGGUGUAGCGGUGAAAUGCGUAGAUAUCGGAAGGAACAUCAGUGGCGAAAGCGACUUCCUGGACCAAUACUGACGCUCAUGUGCGAAAGCGUGGGGAGCAAACAGG
rnacentral:rRNA from 1 species